rnacentral:hammerhead_ribozyme from 1 species
AAGCGAAACCUAGCCCCCAUCGGGGCGAUGGUCUGCCGGCCGUGGUUGGUCGGUACUGAUGAGCAGCCAAGA